rnacentral:rRNA from 1 species
GACGAACGCUGGCGGCGUGCCUAAUACAUGCAAGUAGAACGCUGAAGGAGGAGCUUGCUUCUCUGGAUGAGUUGCGAACGGGUGAGUAACGCGUAGGUAACCUGCCUGGUAGCGGGGGAUAACUAUUGGAAACGAUAGCUAAUACCGCAUAAGAGUAGAUGUUGCAUGACAUUUGCUUAAAAGGUGCAAUUGCAUCACUACCAGAUGGACCUGCUUUGUAUUAGCUAGUUGGUGGGGUAACGGCUCACCAAGGCGACGAUACAUAGCCGACCUGAGAGGGGGAUCGGCCACACUGGGACUGAGACACGGCCCAGACUCCUACGGGAGGCAACAGUAGAGAAUCUUCGGCAAUUGACGAGAGUCUGACCGAGCGACACCGCGUGAGUGAAGAAGAUUUUCGGAUCGUAGAGCUCUGUUGUUAGAGAAGAACGAAUGUGAAAGUGGAAAGUUCACACUGUGACGGUAUCUUACCAGAAAGGGACGGCUAACUACGUG